rnacentral:lncRNA from 1 species
GGGAAAGGCGGGGCCACGGUUAGGUAGGUGUGCGCCUGCGCGGAAGCACCGGAAGUUGGGAGUUAGGCUCGCCACCCGGGUGCCUGGCGCUCCGUGCGUCUUGCUACUCACAGAACGUUCUGGAAGUUUGGGAGGCGCCGUGGCCCCAGGAACCUCCUGAUCUGGUGUUGUUUGUAACCUGUCGUUCCCCACCCCAGACCCAACCGCAGCGGGGGUGUGGGGAGGACAGAGAACCUCAAGAAUGGAAGCGGCGGGGAAGAUCUCGGAGACCAACCUUUCACCUGUCAGUUGAGAAAAGUGGCCAUUCCCCAGCCUGGGGCGCAAAUGUUGGCACCAGGCCCCGGCCAUUCGGCCCGGGGGCACCCUGCGCCUCUCAGAGGAGGCGGACUCAGACGUACACCUGUUCCAGGACUCUACGGAGCCAUAGGGCUUCUCGGGUGCCAUCCUCAGAUGAGGAGGUGGUGGAGGAACCUCAGAACCACAAUGCACAGAUGUCCUUGGGCACCAAGGGGCUGAAAGUCAACCUGUUUCCUGGCCUGAGCCUGUCGCCCUGAAGGCCAAUCUGUGCCCUCGGAACCGCUCAGCUGAGGAGGGGGAGCCUGUGGAGAGCAAGCCAAGCCAGGAGGAGUCUGUGGUGCAGCGUUCCAAGUCUUGCAAGGUCCCGGGGCUGGGGAAGCCCCUUGCGUUACCUCCCAAGCCAGAGAAAUCCUCAGGGUCAGAAGGAUCAUCACCCAACUGGCUAUAAGCCCUGAAGCUCGAAGAAGAAGGUCUGAGAAGUCCUCGAGGUCCUUCCAUCUGGCAGUCUCAGGCAAUGCCCAUUCCUGUGGGGUCCCCGGGGAGGAGACAGCUGGAGCCCCACCAGGCCCCAGGCUGCAGCCUCUGUCCCCUCCACAUCUGAGGAGCAGCUGGGGAGGCACAUUUAUGCACUUUGUAUCCCUCCGCCCUUCUUGACUCUACCCCCUCCCUCCUGACCAGAUUCAGGCAUUAGUGGUAAAGGUUUGGUCCCUCCUCCCUCAGUCUCUUGACAACCGCCCCUCUGCUUCCUCCUCCAGCCUCCGUUGGGUUUUCUUUUGAUAUCAAUUUAUAGCAUUUUUUAUAAAAGCCUUUCAUUUUUGUAACAGGUGGAGCCCUGCCCCCUCCCAAGCCUCCCUCUGUCCUGCCAGGUGCCCCACAGAGACCAAUAACAUUUUGCCACUUGAAACAAUAAAGUUUUUUGGGGAAAAAAAAUCUUGGGAUUA